CAGGAAUGUAGCUGUGCUGUCAGAUUAUGCUGCUCUGGACACUGCUCCAGAUCCAGAGGAAGUUCGGGACUGUGAAAGAUCUACCCGUGCACGCAUUUCUCGGCCGGAAGAGAGAGAGAAGCGUCUAAAAUUUCACCAGAGUGUUCGUGAUUUAGUUGUCGGAAGUGGUGAAAUAAUAAUUGAUGAUAUGAGGUUCACAGUAUCUCAUGUUGCCGAACCAGUUGAAAGGGGAAUUGCUAGAAUAAAUAAG
rnacentral:misc_RNA from 1 species